rnacentral:rRNA from 1 species
CCUACGGGAGGCAGCAGUGAGGAAUAUUGGUCAAUGGGCGAGAGCCUGAACCAGCCAAGUCGCGUGAGGGAGUACUGCCCUAUGGGUUGUAAACCUCUUUUGUCGGGGAGCAAAAGCCGGACGUGUCCGGCUGUGAGAGUACCCGAAGAAAAAGAAUCGGUUAACUCCGUGCCAGCAGCCGCGGUAAGACGGAGGAUGCGAGCGUUAGCCGGAUUUAGUGGGUUUAAAGGGGGGGUAGGCUGUGAGGUAAGUCAGCGGAGAAAUGCCCCCGCUCAACGGGGUGAAGUGCCAUUGAUACUGGCGUGCUGGAAUGCUGAUGCCGUGGGAGGAAUGUGAGGUGUAGCGGUGAAAUGCAUAGAUAUCACACAGAACACAGGUUGCGAAGGCAUCUCACGAAUCCGCGAUUGACGCUGAUGCACGAAAGCGUGGGUAUCAAACAGGAUUAGAUACCCGUGUAGUC